rnacentral:lncRNA from 1 species
GGGAAGGGCAGGGAGUGGUUCUGGGCACCAGGAGAAGAAGAGAAAGCAAGAGCAUCAGGAGAGAGAUGAAAAGCGGGGAGCUCAGUGGAGAUGGAGCCACUGAGCAGGAGCAGGAGGCCAGCUGGGUUUCCAUGGCAACAGUGGCAGCAAUUCAAGCAUCAUGGAUUCCAAGGACGAGUUGACCAACCGGGCCUAGGAAGCCUUAACAGUCGGCUGCGGAACUUUUCUCUCUAAAUUCUGACAAUAAACUUCUAGAAACCAUCUGCAUUCCUUGGCUCAUGGCUCGUCUUCAAAUCCAACCUCUGCUUCUGUGGUCAUCGCGUCUCCUUCUCUGACUCUGACUCCCUUCCUUCCUUCACUGAUGAGGACCCUUGCAACUGCACUGGGCCCACCGAGAUGAUCCAGGAUAAUCUCCCCAUCUCAAGAUCUUUAACUUAAUUACAUCUGAAAAGUCACUUUCGCCACUUAAGGGAGAAGAGCCUACACAGUAGAGAUGAGCCAUCUGGACUCCAGCAGCGCAGCAGAGAUGAGAGCAAAGUCUAGAAGAGUAGAACUGGGCGGGCACCUGAAUGACUACACUCAUCUAUCUACAGUUACGAUGGAUCUCGGGCAAAAAGCUGCUCAGAUAA